rnacentral:tRNA from 1 species
GAGGGUAUAGCUCAUUUGGUAGACCACAGGCUUAGCAUGGAUGAGGUUCUGGGUUCAAUCCCCAGUACCUCCA